rnacentral:rRNA from 1 species
ACGGGAGGCAGCAGUCGGGAAUCUUGCGCAAUGGGCGAAAGCCUGACGCAGCAACACCGUGUGAGCGACGAAGGCCUUCGGGUCGUAAAGCUCUGUUGUUGGGGACGAAGGGUUAGGGGUUAAUAGCCCCGAGCCUGACGGUACCCUUCGAGGAAGCCCCGGCUAACUACGUGCCAGCAGCCGCGGUAAUACGUAGGGGGCGAGCGUUGUCCGGAAUUAUUGGGCGUAAAGAGCGUGUAGGCGGUUCGGUAAGUCUGCCGUGAAAACCUGGGGCUCAACCCCGGGCGUGCGGUGGAUACUGCCGGGCUAGAGGGUGGUAGAGGCGAGUGGAAUUCCCGGUGUAGCGGUGAAAUGCGCAGAUAUCGGGAGGAACACCAGUAGCGAAGGCGGCUCGCUGGGCCAUUCCUGACGCUGAGACGCGAAAGCUAGGGGAGCGAACAGGAUUAGAUACCCUGGUA